AGUUUUUUCCUCUAAACAACCACUUUAGCUAUACACCUGACUUUACUAAUAUGCAGUCCAGGACUGAUAAUAAUGAAGGGUCUGGAUUAACCCCUGUGGACCCAUUUCAAAUCCCCAAUAAUGAUGAUACAGCCAUAAUGGCCUCUGAAGAAUUCCAGAAUAUACUGGACACUACCAUGGCGGCAUCUAUAAAUAAAGCGCUGGCCUCUGCC